rnacentral:rRNA from 1 species
AACGAACGCUGGCGGCAUGCCUAACACAUUCAAGUCGAACGAUACCUUCGGGUCUAGUGGCGCACGGGUGCGUAACGCGUGGGAACCUGCCCUUAGGUUCUUAAUAACUCCCCGCAAGGGGUUCUAAUACCGGAUAAUGUCUUCGGACCAAAGAUUUAUCGCCUUUGGAUGGGCCCGCGUUGGAUUAGCUAGUUGGUAGGGUAAAAGCCUACCAAGGCGACGAUCCAUAGCUGGUCUGAGAGGAUGAUCAGCCACACUGGGACUGAGACACGGCCCAGACUCCUACGGGAGGAAGCAGUGGGGAAGAUUGGACAAUGGGCGAAAGACUGAGCCAGCAAUGCCGCGUGAGUGAGGAAGGACUUAGGGUUGUAAAGCUCUUUUACCCGGGAUGAUAAUGACAGUACCGGGAGAAUAAGCUCCGGCUAACUCCGUG